rnacentral:rRNA from 1 species
CCUACGGGUGGCAGCAGUGGGGAAUAUUGCUCAAUGGGCGAAACCCUGAUGCAGCGACGCCGCGUGAAGGAUGAAGGACCUAGGUGUGUUAACUUCUUUUAGCAGGGGAGUAAAUGACGGUACCUGUCUAAGAAUCUCCGGCUAAUUACGUGCCAGCAGCCGAGGUAAUACGCCGGCAGCCAGCGUUAUCCGGAUUUACUGGGGGUAAAGGGAGCGUAGUCGGUAUGGCAGGUCUGAUGUGAAAAUCCGGGGCUCAACCCCAGAAUUGCAUUGGAAACUGGCGAACUUGAGUUUAGGAGAGGUAAGUGGAAUUCGUGGUGUAGCGGGGAAAUGCGUAGAUAUUAGGAGGAACACCAGUUGCGAAGGCAGCUUGCUGGAC